GGUGAGGUAGCAUCACCAUCCCAUGGGCCACCUGCAGGCCCAGAGCCAUGCUCCUGGGGAGUCACAGGCAGCUCCUGAAGCAGGAUGGGGUGCAGUGGAGAGGGGAAGCAGCUGCCAAGGCUCAAGUCAUAGGCAGGCAGCAGCGACGGAGACAAGGAGACGACACAAACCGCUCCGGCAUUCCUGAGCGCCUCCAGGUAGGUCACUCCAGAAGGAGGCAAAGGGACGCACAGAGGACCCUGAGUCGUCAAUGGUGUCGAGCCCCGGCUGGUCACAGAAUCACCCUGAGUGGCCCAAGGGCCAAGGCAGAGGAUGACAGGGGCUGUCACUGCAGGUCCCCAAAUGUAAGGACUGAAACCUUCACCUCCAGCUCCAACUGGGGAGCUCCGUGAGGGCCCCGCCCACCUCGCUGUGCACAGGGCUGCAGCCUCGGCACUAGGAGCUCCAGCCAGGGAUGGCUGGGGACCAAGAGCGAUUCAGCAACACCAGGUCCAGGCAUCCAAAACAAAACACCAAACAAGCAUCUUAGCCCCACUUACCACCCUCAAUUAUAAACUGUAAGCCAUUCAGACAGCAGGCUAAUAUUUUUGUAAUGAUGUUAUGGAACUGCUACUUGAGCACAGCUUGAAGUGACCACCUAGAGGCAGGCACUUACUGCAGCACUGUCCGUCCCUGUAAGAACUGGAUACCACCCUGAGCCCAGCAGUGAGGCUGAGUCCACACCAAGACACCCAGACUCCGGAACAAAAACUUACGAGGCCGGGCGCGGUGGCUCAUGGUGGGUCAUGUCUGUAA
rnacentral:lncRNA from 1 species